GUAAUUAUUAAUAGUAAAAAAUAAAAUAAUGAAUAUUGUUAAAUAAAAAUAAUAAAUAUAUAUAAAAUUAACUAAUUAAUUAAUUUCUUACAAUUAUAGACAAUGACAUUUCCAUUAACCCUGUCUGAGUGACACGUCGUGAGGCCAUUACGUCACAUGAUCAACGGCUGUUUGUCAACAGAUGACAUUGCACCCUCAACGUUUGUUUUUUUUAUAAUAGGUUGAUAUUUAGCUCAAGAAUUAUCUGUAAAUACAAAAUUUGUACAUAUAACAAUCCUGUUCAUUCGUAGUUAUCUGUUUGUUUACAUAUUAACUUUUUUUUUGUUUAUUCGGUUUUAAGCUUAAGGUUAAUUUGUCCGUUGUUGAGAAAAGACAGCCAAACAGGUUUGGAACAAGUGAAUGAGUUCUCUACAGUCAACUGACAACUACAUAACACUUACACAUUCUGUCCCUCAAAAAUAAGGUUCUUGCAGCUUAAAAAAAAUGUACCUGAUAGUGGAGUUCAUUCACGAAGGGAGUACCGGACCUGUCGCCAAGUCUUGGUACUCAGAGGGUCACUCGUGGUGGCCUCCAUACAAGAAGAUAGACAGGGUAUUGAGGAGUGUCCGGUUGAUGGAGGCACCACAACCAGAUAAAGGUUGGACCAAGCAUCAGGCCAGAAUU
rnacentral:lncRNA from 1 species